rnacentral:rRNA from 1 species
UUAUUAAUAUAAUAUUUGAUCCUUUCGUACUAAAAUAUUUUUUAUAUUUAAGAUAGAAACCAACCUGGCUCACACCGGUUUAAACUCAGAUCAUGUAAAAUUUUAAAGGUCGAACAGACCUAAUAUUCUAGCUUCUUCACCAAAAAUAAAUUUUAAUCCAACAUCGAGGUCGCAAACCCUUUUUUCAAUAAGAACUAUUAAAAAGAUUACGCUGUUAUCCCUAAGGUAAUUUAAUCUUAUAAUCAUUUAUAUGGAUCAAAAAUUCGAUUAUUAUCGUAUAAAUAAAAAAAAAGUUUAAUUAAUUUUUUUGUCACCCCAACAAAACUUAAAAUAAAUUAUUAAAAUAAAAUUCUAAAAAUAAUAAAAUAAUUUUUAGUUAAACUCUAUAGGGUCUUCUCGUCUUUAAAUUUAAUUUAAGCUUUUUAACUUAAAAAUAAAAUUCUAUUAUUAAAAUUGAAACAGUAAUUUUCUCAUCAAACCAUUCAUACAAGCUUUCAAUUAAAAAACUAAUGAUUAUGCUACCUUUGCACAGUCAAAAUACUGCGGCCCUUCAAUAAUUCAGUGGGCAGGCCAAACUUUAAAUUAAAUUC